CCAAUAGCGUAUAUUAAAGUUGUUGCAGUUAAAAAGCUCGUAGUUGAACUUCGGGAUCAAUGAGUUGGUCGUGCCUUUGGUAUGAACUGGCUUUAUUGGUUCUCACCUUCUAAUGAACCAUAAUGUCAUUCAUUUGAUGUUUUGGGGAAUUAGGACUGUUACCUUGAAAAAAUUAGAGUGUUUAAAGCAGGCUCACGCUU
rnacentral:rRNA from 1 species